rnacentral:rRNA from 1 species
UACGUAGGGGGCAAGCGUUGUCCGGAAUUAUUGGGCGUAAAGGGCGCGUAGGCGGCUGUAUAAGUCUGAUGUGAAAGUGCGGGGCUUAACCCCGUAAAGCAUUGGAAACUGUACGGCUUGAGGACAGGAGAGGAAAGUGGAAUUCCACGUGUAGCGGUGAAAUGCGUAGAUAUGUGGAGGAACACCAGUGGCGAAGGCGACUUUCUGGACUGUAACUGACGCUGAGGCGCGAAAGCGUGGGGAGCGAACAGGAUUAGAUACCCUGGUAGUCCACGCCGUAAACGAUGAGUGCUAGGUGUAGAGGGUAUCGACCCCUUCUGUGCCGCAGUAAACACAAUAAGCACUCCGCCUGGGGAGUACGGCCGCAAGGUUGAA